rnacentral:rRNA from 1 species
AUUGAACGCUGGCGGCAGGCCUAACACAUGCAAGUCGAGCGGAUGAAGGGAGCUUGCUCCUGGAUUCAGCGGCGGACGGGUGAGUAAUGCCUAGGAAUCUGCCUGGUAGUGGGGGAUAACGUCCGGAAACGGGCGCUAAUACCGCAUACGUCCUGAGGGAGAAAGUGGGGGAUCUUCGGACCUCACGCUAUCAGAUGAGCCUAGGUCGGAUUAGCUAGUUGGUGGGGUAAAGGCCUACCCAGGCGACGAUCCGUAACUGGUCUGAGUGGAUGAUCAGUCACACUGGAACUGAGACACGGUCCAGACUCCUACGGGAGGCAGCAGUGGGGAAUAUUGGACAAUGGGCGAAAGCCUGAUCCAGCCAUGCCGCGUGUGUGAAGAAGGUCUUCGGAUUGUAAAGCACUUUAAGUUGGGAGGAAGGGCAGUAAGUUAAUACCUUGCUGUUUUGACGUUACCAACAGAAUAAGCACCGGCUAACUUCGUG